rnacentral:lncRNA from 1 species
GCGGCUCUUUUGGAAUAGGUUGCCUGCUAAGGCUAAUUUAUUCCGUUGGGGGAUUAUUCCUGUUGAUCAACAAAUGUGUGUUGGUGGGUGUGGAGUGCAGGAGACUGAUGUUCAUUUGUUUUUAAAUUGUGGUACCUUUGGAAUUAUUUGGCAAAUGAUUCAGAGUUGGUUAGGAGUUUACACAGCUAUGCCGACAAAUUUAACAGAGCAUUUCUUUCAAUUUAGUACAGCUUCAGGUUAUGCAAAAGGGAGGAAGAAUUUUGUGCUUUUGAUUUGGUUUGCGACUUCUUGGAUUCUCUGGAAGGAAAGAAACAACAAAAUUUUUUGAG